rnacentral:rRNA from 1 species
GAUGAACGCUGGCGGCGUGCCUAAUACAUGCAAGUCGAGCGAACAGACGAGGAGCUUGCUCCUCUGACGUUAGCGGCGGACGGGUGAGUAACACGUGGAUAACCUACCUAUAAGACUGGGAUAACUUCGGGAAACCGGAGCUAAUACCGGAUAAUAUAUUGAACCGCAUGGUUCAAUAGUGAAAGACGGCUUUGCUGUCACUUAUAGAUGGAUCCGCGCCGCAUUAGCUAGUUGGUAAGGUAACGGCUUAUCAAGGCAACGAUGCGUAGCCGACCUGAGAGGGUGAUCGGCCACACUGGAACUGAGACACGGUCCAGACUCCUACGGGAGGCAGCAGUAGGGAAUCUUCCGCAAUGGGCGAAAGCCUGACGGAGCAACGCCGCGUGAGUGAUGAAGGUCUUCGGAUCGUAAAGCUCUGUUAUUAGGGAAGAACAAAUGUGUAAGUAACUAUGCACGUCUUGACGGUACCUAAUCAGAAAGCCACGGCUAACUACGUG